rnacentral:rRNA from 1 species
UACCCGCUGAACUUAAGCAUAUCAAUAAGCGGAGGAAAAGAAACCAACAGGGAUUGCCUCAGUAACGGCGAGUGAAGCGGCAAAAGCUCAGAUUUGAAAUCUGGUACCAUUUGGUGCCCGAGUUGUAAUCUGUAGAGGAGUAUUCGAGGGUGGCUUUGGCCUAAGUUCCUUGGAACAGGGCGUCAUAGAGGGUGAGAACCCCGUUCACGGCCUUUGACCUAUGCUCAUGUGAAUCUCCUUCAACGAGUCGAGUUGUUUGGGAAUGCAGCUCUAAAUGGGUGGUAAAUUCCAUCUAAAGCUAAAUAUUGGCAAGAGACCGAUAGCGCACAAGUAGAGUGAUCGAAAGAUGAAAAGAACUCUGAACAGAGAGUUAAAUAGUACGUGAAAUUGUUGAAAGGGAAGCACUUGCUACCAGACGCACCAGUAGCCGAUCAACCUCCAUUCUUGGUGGUGCACUCGGUUGUUGGUGGGCCAGCAUCAGUUACGGCGGUGGGAUAAAGACCAAGGGAAUGUGGCUCCCUUCGGGGAGUGUUAUAGCCCUUGGUGCAAUACCAUCAGCUGUGACUGAGGACCGCGCUUUGGCGAGGAUGUUGGCAUAAUGGUCGUAAGUGACCCGUCUUGAAACACGGACCAAGGAGUCUAACAUCUAUGCGAGUGUUUGGGUGUUAAAACCCUUACGCGUAAUGAAAGUGAAUGGAGGUGGGAACCGUAAGGUGCACCAUCGACCGAUCCUGAUGUUCUCGGAUGGAUUUGAGUAGGAGCAUAGCUGUUGGGACCCGAAAGAUGGUGAACUAUGCCUGAAUAGGGUGAAGCCAGAGGAAACUCUGGUG